rnacentral:rRNA from 1 species
AUGAACGCUGGCUACAGGCUUAACACAUGCAAGUCGAGGGGAAACGACGGGGAAGCUUGCUUCCCCGGGCGUCGACCGGCGCACGGGUGAGUAACGCGUAUCCAACCUGCCUCUGACUGAGGGAUAACCCGUCGAAAGUCGGCCUAAUACCUCAUGGUAUCGUCUGCGGGCAUCCAACGACGAUUAAAGAUUUCAUCGGUCAGGGAUGGGGAUGCGUCUGAUUAGCUUGUUGGCGGGGUAACGGCCCACCAAGGCUACGAUCAGUAGGGGUUCUGAGAGGAAGGUCCCCCACAUUGGAACGGAGACACGGUCCAAACUCCUACGGGAGGCAGCAGUGAGGAAUAUUGGUCAAUGGGCGAGAGCCUGAACCAGCCAAGUAGCGUGCAGGAAGACGGCCCUAUGGGUUGUAAACUGCUUUUAUGCGGGGAUAAAGUGAGGGACGUGUCCCUCAUUGCAGGUACCGCAUGAAUAAGGACCGGCUAAGUCCGUG